rnacentral:rRNA from 1 species
UUUGUAUUGGCGAUAUGCAUUUUAAUUAAAAUAAAUAAAACAUUAAAUAAACUUUUUAUUAAAUAUUUUAAUUAAAACUGUUUUAACUAUUAGGAAAAUUUAAAUGGAAUUACAUAUAAGUGUGCAUAACGUAA